GUCAGACUCACCUGUCUACCAGCUUGGGCAGACGCUUGCCUUGAGUCCUGAGGCUAGGCCACAGCUGGAGCAGCAGAUAGAAGGGACAGGGUUGCACUUAUAACACCACUAUCCUCCCAGCCCUGGUUUUAUCAUCAUCAUCGAGAAAAAUACAAUUAAUCAGCAGUGAUCAAAGUCUAGUAGAACACCUGCUUAACAACUUCCUGCCCACCCAUCACUCAGACAAAA
rnacentral:lncRNA from 1 species